rnacentral:rRNA from 1 species
UACGAAGGGGGCUAGCGUUGCUCGGAAUCACUGGGCGUAAAGGGUGCGUAGGCGGGUCUUUAAGUCAGGGGUGAAAUCCUGGAGCCCAACUCCAGAACUGCCUUUGAUACUGAAGAUCUUGAGUUCGGGAGAGGUGAGUGGAACUGCGAGUGUAGAGGUGAAAUUCGUAGAUAUUCGCAAGAACACCAGUGGCGAAGGCGGCUCACUGGCCCGAUACUGACGCUGAGACGCGAAAGCCAGGGGAGCAAACGGG